UACGGGGGGAGCAAGCGUUGUUCGGAUUUACUGGGCGUAAAGGGCGCGUAGGCGGCCACCGCAAGUCGACUGUGAAAUCUCCGGGCUUAACCCGGAAAGGUCAGCCGAUACUGCGGGGCUAGAGUGCAGAAGGGGCAACUGGAAUUCUCGGUGUAGCGGUGAAAUGCGUAGAUAUCAAGAGGAACACCUGCGGCGAAGGCGGGUUGCUGGGCCGACACGUGACGCUGAGGCGCGAAAGCUAGGGGAGCGAACGGG
rnacentral:rRNA from 1 species